AUUGAACGCUGGCGGCAGGCCUAACACAUGCAAGUCGAGCGGAUGAAGGGAGCUUGCUCCUGGAUUCAGCGGCGGACGGGUGAGUAAUGCCUAGGAAUCUGCCUGGUAGUGGGGGAUAACGUCCGGAAACGGGCGCUAAUACCGCAUACGUCCUGAGGGAGAAAGUGGGGGAUCUUCGGACCUCACGCUAUCAGAUGAGCCUAGGUCGGAUUAGCUAGUUGGUGGGGUAAAGGCCUACCAAGGCGACGAUCCGUAACUGGUCUGAGAGGAUGAUCAGUCACACUGGAACUGAGACACGGUCCAGACUCCUACGGGAGGCAGCAGUGGGGAAUAUUGGACAAUGGGCGAAAGCCUGAUCCAGCCAUGCCGCGUGUGAAGAAGGUCUUCGGAUUGUAAAGCACUUUAAGUUGGGGGGAAGGGCAGUAAGUUAAUACCUUGCUGUUUUGACGUUACCAACAGAAUAAGCACCGGCUAACUUCGUG
rnacentral:rRNA from 1 species